GACNAACGCUGUGCGGCGUGCUUAACACAUGCAAGUCGAACGAUGAAGCCCUUCGGGGUGGAUUAGUGGCGAACGGGUGAGUAACACGUGGGCAAUCUGCCCUUCACUCUGGGACAAGCCCUGGAAACGGGGUCUAAUACCGGAUAANACUCCUGCCUGCAUGGGCGGGGGUUGAAAGCUCCGGCGGUGAAGGAUGAGCCCGCGGCCUAUCAGCUUGUUGGUGGGGUAAUGGCCCACCAAGGCGACGACGGGUAGCCGGCCUGAGAGGGCGACCGGCCACACUGGGACUGAGACACGGCCCAGACUCCUACGGGAGGCAGCAGUGGGGAAUAUUGCACAAUGGGCGAAAGCCUGAUGCAGCGACGCCGCGUGAGGGAUGACGGCCUUCGGGUUGUAAACCUCUUUCAGCAGGGAAGAAGCGAAAGUGACGGUACCUGCAGAAGAAGCGCCGGCUAACUACGUGCCAGCAGCCGCGGUAAUACGUAGGGCGCAAGCGUUGUCCGGAAUUAUUGGGCGUAAAGAGCUCGUAGGCGGCUUGUCACGUCGGAUGUGAAAGCCCGAGGCUUAACCUCGGGUCUGCAUUCGAUACGGGCUAGCUAGAGUGUGGUAGGGGAGAUCGGAAUUCCUGGUGUAGCGGUGAAAUGCGCAGAUAUCAGGAGGAACACCGGUGGCGAAGGCGGAUCUCUGGGCCAUUACUGACGCUGAGGAGCGAAAGCGUGGGGAGCGAACAGGAUUAGAUACCCUGGUAGUCCACGCCGUAAACGUUGGGAACUAGGUGUNGCCGACAUUCCACGUCGUCGGUGCCGNANCUNACGCAUUAAUUNCCCGCCUGGGGAAUNCGGCCNNAGGCUAAACUCAANGAAUUGACGGGGGCCCCNCAACNGCGGANCUGUGGNUUAUUUGACCACNNAANAACNUACCAGGNUUGAAUNNCCGNANAAUAAAANNUGCCCCNUGGGNCGNNANAGNGGGCUGGUNNCCNNNNUGUCNGAANU
rnacentral:rRNA from 1 species